rnacentral:rRNA from 1 species
AUUGAACGCUGGCGGCAUGCCUUACACAUGCAAGUCGAACGGCAGCACGGGUGCUUGCACCUGGUGGCGAGUGGCGAACGGGUGAGUAAUACAUCGGAACAUGUCCUGUAGUGGGGGAGCCCGGCGAAAGCCGGAUUAAUACCGCAUACGAUCUACGGAUGAAAGCGGGGGACCUUCGGGCCUCGCGCUAUAGGGUUGGCCGAUGGCUGAUUAGCUAGUUGGUGGGGUAAAGGCCUACCAAGGCGACGAUCAGUAGCUGGUCUGAGAGGACGACCAGCCACACUGGGACUGAGACACGGCCCAGACUCCUACGGGAGGCAGCAGUGGGGAAUUUUGGACAAUGGGCGAAAGCCUGAUCCAGCAAUGCCGCGUGUGUGAAGAAGGCCUUCGGGUUGUAAAGCACUUUUGUCCGGAAAGAAAUCCUUGGCCCUAAUACGGUCGGGGGAUGACGGUACCGGAAGAAUAAGCACCGGCUAACUACGUG